rnacentral:lncRNA from 1 species
UUAAACAUAAAUUUUAAUAUUAAAAAAAAAAUCAUUAUUUUACAGUUAUAUAUAAAUAGCAAUUUAUAAUGUUAUAUAUAAUAUUAGAACUAUAACAAUACAUAUACAUUUAUAUACACACACACACACACACACACACACACAUCAUAAUAAAUAAAUCGACAGUAGGGAAAAAUCGUUGGGUUUAUAAGGAGACAGCUAACGGAGUUAGCCAGCUCUGCUAACUUUCUUCUCGACGUCAGACUGAUGAGACACUUACACAGAAAUAUCAUUAUUUAAUGCUUUUAUCUACUGUUCAAAUCAUCAUAGCAUGUUAUUAUACACUGAAGAUGAGAAUAAAUGACUCGUGUUUACUUCAUACUUCAUAUAUAAGAAGCAGAGACUCUGAUCUGAGCUGUUGACAUGUCGAUGUGUGUUAAAAAUUAAGAUUAUAUGAUUUAUGUUGCGUUCAUUUAAUACACGACGGAUAUAGAUGAUAGUGUUGUUGUUAUUACAGAUUGUAGGAGCGUUUAUUGUAAGUUAAAUGUCAGUAAAUUGCCUCAGCUGUCACUUAAGAAAUCCGUUAUGAUGGAUGACAGCUGCUCAUCUUCUGUAUUCAGUAUUUCUGUUGAUCUGAUUCUUGUUUCCUUCUGCAAUUUUUUUUAUAUUUAAUUUUAGUAUUUACUGGUACUUAAAUAGAGUUUACACGAAGCAAACACAAACAUAUAUUAAUUUAUUUAAAAGCAGAAAUUAUUGGUUUUGUGCUUGCGUGUAACUUGCUUUGUCAUUUCUCUCUAGGAUGCCUGGGCAGAAAAGAAAGAUGCCUUCUUCUGAACCUGACGUAAAGAAAACAAAGAUAGAUCAAAGUCUCGUGGAGUCAGAUAAAGCUCAGAUGCCCAAGAAGUCUUUGAGAGGGAGACCUCCGAAAAACAAAGCGUUGGAAACUCCGUCGUCUAAGCAGAAACAUAAAGUACAGCUGAGGGAAGAAAACGGAAAACCCGUUCGACGGUCGUCUCGCUUGAAAGCGCCACAAAAGAAAGGCACGAGAGGAAGACGGCGGAAAGAUGAGGGGAAGCCGAAAGCCUCUGGAGAUAAAAAAUCUCAGAAUAUGUCUGUGUUGAAGAAAGGAAACAAGAAAUAUGUAUCAAGAGUGAAGAAAGAAAAGCCAUCCGUCUCCGAAACGAUUAAAACAGUCGCAACCUUGUUUCCUGUGCAAAUAGAGCACAAUUACGGACGAUUGCUUGACCUUCAAAGUGAGGAGAUCACGUUACCCAAACCUGACAAAAUCCCCGUGGCCAAUAUAAGCGAUCUGCAGUCGCUUCACGAACCGCGAGUGAGCAAAGUCGAAGAGCAUAAGGAGCUUCCGACAGAGAAAAUCACAGUGAGUGUGGAUGUGAUGAGCAAAUCUCCUCCACCUCUAGAGGCGCUUUUCAAAGUCAUCCAAGAGACCAGCAUCUCGAAACACUCCUUCGCCGGUAAAGACAUUUCCGACAUGGAUGAGUUAGAAGUCGUGAACACGUGUUCCCUCCAGGAGAGCGUACAAAGUACAGACAUGGCGAAAGUGUUUCUCCCGGAUUCAGAAGCGUUUCUGGAUGAUGAUAUUGAGAUUGAACAUUGCGUGGUGGAGAUCGAAACCUAUGAGGAUUUGGAGGAGGAGGACAUGGUGAAAAAACAAACAGGUGAAGCUGUGACGUGUAAGGAGGUCACUUCUUCGCCCUCUUUGCCCCAGGAAAGUGCGACGGACUCCUCGCAAGGGGUUCCUAAAAAGCAGGCCAUGAAUCCGCAGGCUCGGACGAAGGCACGUCUGGCGGCUUUAGCUGAAGAAAGGGCGGCUGCUGCUAAGAAACCCCCACCUCGACAGCUCAACCUUCUUGCUCUCUGUGAAGAAAUCGCAGAUGAUAUUGCAUCCGAUGCUCCUGGGACUUCUGAUGCGCAAAAUAUUGAGCAACAACAGGAGGCGAGUGAAUCUACGGAGGUUUGCGAAACCGAAAAAGAGGCGUCUGAAAACGCCGCACCCACCGAAACUUCUAGUGUUGAGACUGACGAGCCCAGAUCUGAGGAUGGUACGCCUAAGAAACGUUUUUUCCUCAGCCAGGUGUCUUUGCCGCUCAAGACCCAGGAGAAGAAGAAACUCUCCCGCUUUCAGAGGCUCAGGCAGGUGGAGCUUCAGCGGGAUAAGUUGACUUGGACCCGUGUUAAGAAGCUGAAGUUGGAUCAGGCGAGUCAGGCUGGUUCUUCCAAGGAGACCGACGCUCCAUCGGUCUCGCCCAGUCCGGCCACCACCCCUGCACAGGUUCCCGUGCCAGAAAGCGUGCCCAAAGUGUGCUCCAAUGAACCCAGGAGGGCCCUUCCGGCUCAGGCGCCACCCAUGCCUAAUGGAAUCACCAGCCCCAAACCCAAACCAGAGGUGGAGUAUAAACCCUACACUCCCAGACGCAAGUAUUCACCUGAUGACUUUGAGCUCGAAGGUCUUGAAGAGGAGACGAGCAAACCAGCAGCACCCAAAAAUGAGGUCAAACCAGAGCAGUCCUCUUCAUCAGCUAAAGUGCAGCCCAAACCAGCAGUGGAGAGAAAGCCAUGCGUCCCCACUACUGCAGAUAAUAAGCUGAAACCCUCUCCCCAGCAAGAACCUGACCAAAAGACGCAAACAGAAAACAGCAACCGGUAA